CAAUAUUCUGGUUUUUAUGUCCAAAUUCUCAGGUCCCAAGUUGUGGAAGAGAACUGACUUUGCCUCAGAAAAUCAGGUUCUCUUAAAGGCCUGCAACACUCUGGGAAACUUGAGCCUGAAACAAUCAAUCUUUCCUGAAACGGAGUGAUCUGUGAGGAAACUAAGAAAGAUAAAGAUGAGGUGAACUUUCCAAACCACAAAGACAUUUACCCUGGGGCUGGCAAACUCCAAGCGCUUUUAACCUUGGUCCUACAGCAAGUGAUGCAGCAGGGGUCAGGAUGCCAUUUUAAAGUCAAUUAUGCUAAAGGUCUUGCAACUUGUCCAGAAAAUGAAGCUUCUGAGAUGUGGAGCGUGGAAGUGACAGCAGAAAUUCAUCUCUGAUUCAUUUCUGAAUUGUUUGAUACACCAGAUAUCCAUCUUCAAUCAAAAGAAACAAAGAGAGAUGGAAUGGAGUUCAAGGAAGGAAAGUCGAGAUAUAUCAUCUGCCUGCAUCAACGUAUGAGCAGUCACCAGCUGAUGUCAUACAUUGCUUGAUGACGUUGAUAUUGCCGGAAAUGUGUCUAGGACUGAAAAUAGUAAGGAUAAAAAAAAUUGGCAGACUGUGUGCUUCCUUUCCUGAUUGAAUAAAAGGCAGAAAUGUCUGGAGAAAUUGGCAGGGCUCUACACCUACAUGGCAUUCAAAGUCUAUAAUUCUCUGAGAGAGCCUUAAGGAUUCCCAAAGCAAUGAUGAGACAAUCAAGGAAUGUGCAAUACCCGUGGCUUUGACCCGAACACUCCACAGUUCCUCUGGCCAGUGUAAGAGGAGCAGGCUGAUGGCUGCAUCACGUGGAUGCUGUAGACUUUGUUAAACGUUUUAGAGCUGUCCAAGUGGGUCCUGGACCCAAAAGGUGGAGCUGUACCAAAGCUGUACACACAGAGCAUCUGGGAAGCAAAAAAACUCGGAAUGGGGCACUGCCUGUCCACCUGAGCUGCAGAAUGAACUUUGCCUGCACCUAGGAGGGAAACUUGACCCUUAUAAAAAGUGACUACCUUCAUUUUAUGAUUGUAAUGUACUAAUAGCAACUCUUGGUAUAACCUGCAGGGCUGGAAAUAAUGAGGGAACCGAAUACAAUACUCCCAGGGCAUGGGCUUAAAGUGAUAACUAUUCAAGCGUAGCCUUUGACUAAUGCAGCUGCUCUUGCGCAUCAAAUAAUGUCAGAAAUGCCACACUUCAUAAGAUAGGGCUAUAAAGCUUCAUUGUGAUCCUUCAGCCCAAAAAUCCACGCUCAAAAAGCUAAAAAGUUUUUAAAUGUGCUGCAUGUCAUGUAGGGAAACGGACACAGGAAUGGAAAACAUUCCAGAUCACCUGCAUCACGUAAAAAUGUGUUCUCCCCUGUCAGUGUUUUCAGACAAACAUGCCAGCACACAUUGCUUUCUUACUUUAAUCUCUGCAGUUUUGUUUCUGCAGUAUUAGAUUAGCCAGAUAAGGGUACUGGAGGGCAGCCAACAGCAAUACCUGGAGAACAGCAUGGAUGCAUCUUAAAGCGUUUGGAUCGUGUGCUCCAAGCAAGCAUCUUGAGUCUGAUCCAUCCUGAGUUUAGCCAUGUUGGCAGCCAGGACAGGAACAGCUGAAGAAAAUGCAAGCACAAACAUUUUCUGCUUAGCAAAGGACCAGGACAUCAGAAUGAGCCCUCACACUGAUUCUUGCAAGGAAAAGCACCUGCUUUUGUUGUGUUUUCUGGGACAAUUCCUGCGAUAAUGAUGGUGUUACAGAAAUAGUCAUUCAAGGGAAAAAACACAUCUCAAGCAUGGGCUGAAGCAGCACCUGUGUUUGCCUGGGUUUGAGGGGACAAAGUCCCACUGUCACUUGCUAGAGGCUUGCAAACCAGCUUCUAGCUGUGCCUGUGGAAGGAGCAGGUGCCUCUGAGGGCACACUGGCCAGUCUGGGAGUUUAAUUAGACAUUGCAGCCCCUAUUCCAGGUAAAUGGUCUUGAAGUCAAUUAAAUGCAAGAUGAUGAUUUUUCUUUUUUGUGAAAAGAUAUUCUGGUCUCUUUCUUCCUUUUUUUUUUCUUAGCUGGUAAUUGGUAUUUUAAAACCAAUUGUCACUGCUAGUUCAGGUAAAAUAAUUUUCAUGCUUACCAAAACUCAGAAGUGCCUAUCAGUCUGAAAUAAAGAGUGCCUUUUUAUUUCAUUAAGAAAGUUCAGGCAAGCUGUUGUUUGCCAGUUUGCUGCCACUGGGAAAGCAGCACUUCCCUAAAGGAUGGUGGGCCACAUUCAGAGCUGAUGUGGCAGGCAGGCACCCUGACUGCUGUACCAUGCUCUGCACAAAGCUCCUCUCCUGGGCCCACACAACCCAGGUGAACUGGGCAGCUUUUCAGAAAUACAGUGGGAUUAUCCUAAAAGGCCACAAUUUACCAACACUUGCACUGCAUCUUAAAUAUCCAGUUUUCUCUAGAGAUGUAAUAGGCAAGCUCUUACUCUUCCUUAAUGUCUGACUCCUGUUGCCAUACAAUGCAUCCUGUUCAGCAGCACCCCAAAUACUCUGGUCCAACACACAAUUUAUUUACCCUUCAAGGGUGAUUUGCAGUAACUUCAAAUGACCAAACAAAAGUGUUUGCUCCUCUCUGCAAGUCGUUGUCUACUGCAAACAACCCUUAACCUCUUCUUCCUUCCCCAACAUGUAACCACAGGUUGCUGCAGUUCUGGCUCCUGCUGCCAUCAGUAAACACCGUGGCUUCCUAAAUCACUGCUCCUCAGAGGCAUUUCCCAGACUUCUUCAUGCUCCAUAGGAUAAAGUCAGAGGGUUCUUCUGCUUGUUUCUUUCUUUUUUUCUUUUUUUUCCUUGUUUUUGACAAAGCAAAAUAUAUUUCAAUGUGCCUUUAUUGUUGGUUAAUGAGCUAUUUGUUGCACAAUAAGCAUUUCACAAGAGCGAUUUCAAAUUCUGCUUCAAACAAUCCAUUUUAGCAUCCAAAUAUAUUCCCAACCUGGGUGCUCACCAGUGCUGUCAGACCUGCCACCCUCCUCUCCUGCAUCCCACUCUGGAUGUGAAAUUUCAGCAAAUAUUACACAGCAUCUUGCAAGAUAUUUUCAGUUUUAGCAUCCUUUGACAACAUAAGAGGUUCUUCAGCUCUCUCCAUCCAGCCCAUGCAGCCCCAGGAGGAGGGCAAGGCUCUGCCUGGGAGGUUGGGGACACCUGUGACAAACUCUGGGGUUGCAGUGCAUGUCAGGAGUCCAAAUCUUGUUUUCAACUUUCACUCCUCUACAAUUUUUUCCUGGAAAAUAUUCAAUACUGAGGCAAUCAUUUGCUCUCUUUUUUUAUUACCCUUGGCUCUUCUCUGUUAUAUAAACCAGCUAAUUUUCAAAGUCAUCUUCUGACACAAAGGCAUAGACAAGCUGGGCACAAAAAUGCUCUGGGCAACAUUUCAAAGCAGUGGCAAAGCUUCUUGAUGGUAAAAAAAAGUUUUAAAAAAGCCUCUCUUGUUCUUCCAUGCAGUGCCCAAUUUUUGUUUUGCUGUAUAGUACAAAGAAAAAAAUAUUUUACCACUAAUGCUAUCAGCAGUGCAUUAAGUGAAAAAAGAACAAUGGUACCUUUGAAGGGCUGUUCUUGACAGAAUUAGGAACACAUAUGGGCAGUACAGUGACUAAAAUUCAUGUCUGGCCAACAUUUGCUGGUGUUUAUCCUUGACUAUUGCUAAAGAGACAGGUGUGUUUAUAUGUAUGUGUAUAUAUAUAUAUAUAUACACACACAUAUAUAUAUAUUAGAUUUGUGGAGUUUUCUGGGUGAAAUAAAACCAAAUACUCCCUAAGAGCUUAAAGCAGAAACCUCAUUUCAAACCUUCCCUUUAGGACAGUGAGUUAAAACCACCCAGAUGGUCACAUCCUGUGUAUUAAUACACUUUUUCAUUUGAAGAGCUGCUGAGCUGGGCUAAGGGACUAAACCUAUUGAAAGUGCUACGUUUCCAACACUGCUUCUUAUUAUUGCUUCUUUCUUUUAUUAUUGGGGGUGUCUUGGUGUGUACCAGGUGUCAUCAUGGUGGAGAAAAGAGAAUGGCAAAAAACUAAACCUUUCUUCUCAAAGGACAAUGUUAUAAAAUAUCAACUCUUAAAGGCCCAGUAAGGAAAAAACUUUUAGGAACAUGAUUGACUAGUAGAUUGCAGCCAGAAAAGCUUUCAAAGCAUCCAAUCUGGGCCAGUGACUGGAAAAAUAAUAUCUGUAUGCCCUAGAAAAUGCAAGAGAAAACAUGUUUAUUUGUGCAUGAUUGUUUCUUUCACUGACUUUUCUUAUAUACCAUGAAAUAUGUAUGGUUUUGUAAAAAAUUAGUGUGUGUCUAUACAGGCAUUUACAAAAAAUACCUCAUUUUAAGAAAAAAAAAAUCAUUCCAGACUAUUACUGGGCUGAGUGCAGUCAUUAAGCAUUAUACACUGAUAGCUUAUUGUUCACUUAUGUGAUAAUUUUACUUCCAAUUAUAUCUGGGUAAUGAAUAAAGACAGUUAAGACUUUAACCUAUUUUCAGAAACCAGAGUUCUAUCAACAUGCAGUUAUUUAUGCUAAUGAAAAUAAUGAUCUUUUUAUAGUGCUUGUCACUGAAACGGAAUGAUGUCCUGCCAACUGUGCAUGUUUGCCAGUGGCUACAAAUUAAUCAGCUAAACUGGAGUGGUAAUUGGAGUAGAGACAAGUCAAGGGUCAGCCAGGCCAGCUCUGGCAGAAAAGCUUUUGAAGAUGAAUGCCCUGUGCAGCACAGAAAACAAAAGAACUUGUUUAUAUAAUGCCGUUGUUUAAUUAAAUCUAAGCAGCUGUUUCAUUAAGAGGUCUCUGAAGAUGAAUGUGGAAGGUGAUGGGCAGGGGAAUCAAAAUGUGAUGAUGAUUGUGUUAUACAGGAUUACGCUGUACAUUUACCUCACACCUCACACCUGCCUAAUGAAAUUAUUCCAUCGAGCUCGGGAUUAUAAACUGCAGACAGACAGCAGAGUGCAACCCCUGGCACUGAGCACACACAUUUGGAGGGGCUGGCUCAGCCUGACUGAGCCUGAGCACAGCUCCACCUCGGUGCUCCACAAGUGGCUGCCCAUGGCAGAUGUCCCUGUGUACCAAGUGACAUCCUCACUGUCCUCCCCUGUUUUAUUUUGGCUCUCUGUCAGGGGUGAAACACGGGAAGUGCUUGGGCCUUGCUUUGCUCAAACAGCUUCUUUUUUUUUUUAAUCUUCUUUCUUUUCACCUUUUUACCUCCUUGGCACCUUCUCUGCUGUUUCUUUACCUUGUAGGCACAACUAGCAGUUGCUCUGGGCAGAAUGUGUGACUGUGCUGGACAUUUCUCUGCACCAGGGGUGGAUUCCUCCUGGCAACCACGGCACUGUGGUUUGGGGAGAGGCUUGCAGGGAACUGUGAUGGUCCCAUAACGUGCUGCAGAAAAGGGAUGGAGGAAACCUCCAGAAGUGCAUCUCCACAGGCUGAAAACCACUCUGUUCUCCUUGAAGUUGACCCAGUGUGGAAAAUUCCCUGCUUUUCAUCCCACCCUGUGCUUGUGCGAAGAGCUUAAGCAAUUAUAGAGGGAGUGUUCCUCUGCUGCAGGUUCAGAAGCUCUGGUUGGCUGGGUAGGAAGGAGCAGCCAUGGACAGGAGCCUGGAAAUGUCACAGGAAUAGUAGGAAUUUGAUCAUUAUUCAGGUAUCUGACAUUUUAAAAUACACUGUUAACCUCCACAGUUACAAAGGACAAACUGGAAAACAUGGCAGCAGUCUCCUGUAAGGACUCACAAACCAUAAGACAGAGAAAAAAUACACCAGACUUUCACAUUUCUAAAGCAUCCUCUGAUUUUCUGCAUUGGCUUUGUAUUAACACAAAAUUCAGAAUUUUGCCACCAAAGGAGUUAGGGGUCUGGAUGGUGAAGGCUUUCCUUGCUUUUUCAGUCCAGGCUGCAGCUCAGAUCUCAUCAGAAGCUGCAGACUCCCUGCCUUGGGAGCCACGGGCAGCAAGGAUGCUCACGGACACCCUGGUCCUUGCAGCUUCUGAUACACAGCUCUUGCCACAUCUAGUGAAUAUUUUCAAGAGUUUUCAUGUCCCCAUUAGUAAAAAAAAAAAAAAAACACAUUCUGUUGAAGGUCCUGGUCUUGAAUUAUGAGAUCCUUAAGUAUGUUUGCAGUAUAGAUAAUAUAAUAUUUAAAAACUGGCACUGGUUGAAAAAGUUUUCACAAGGGUUUAAAUUUCCUCCAGAAAAAUGUAUUUUAUGACAUUCAAAGCACAUUAUGGGAGUAUUCCAUUUUUACUUUCUUUUAUUCAGUGCAGACUCAAAGAAUAUUUCCUCAAUGAUAGAUGUGGAAGCAUUUUGCCUACAGAUGAAAAAUAAAUUUACAAAUUCUAAUUUUCCAAUGAAAUGUAUUACAAGCAAUUUAUCUUCGAGUCAUUCAGCCACUUCCUCUGAUAAAAUGCUUACAUGAUGAGAAACUUACCCUAGCCAGAUUCAAUAGGAUCUUUGUCAUUCCUUCCUAUUUAAGAACUUUCUAUGGCCCCAUUAAGAGCUUGCACUGCUGUGUGUUGUUAAAGGCAGAAGCCUCAUUGCAUCCCAAAAGACACCACAAGGCAUUCCUUUGGGAAUAUCUUUCUUUCCUUAAUAGGUCAACAAUUUUGAUCUGUGCUGGAUGGGAACAAGAGCAGGAGAAGGAGCUCACCAUCCCUAUUUAAAGGAUGUUUAACAGGCUAUUGACAAGCCACCUUUCAUCAGGGAUCACCAGGUGUCUUCGGGCUGUUAGAACACAAAUCCUGUUCCUCUUGCCUUACAACACCGCUCCAUUUCAGAGGUGUUUGUGAUCCUCAAGCUGAAGGGCCUUUCCCCAGGGUGUCUCAGGGUGGAUAACAGCAGGAAUCCCCCAGCCCUGUGCUCAGCGAGGCCCUGCUGUCCUUUGUGGCCAUGAAGGUGAGCUUCUGAAGGAUCCAGCCUUAUUUGAGUAAAGCACUGUACCAUAUCCUAUUAAAUUGGCACCCCUGACUGCUUCUGUGAGCUUGGCCCUGUGCAAUUUUCAAUAAAAUGUAAUUAUUUUGUAAGGUGUGUAAAGAGCUUAUUCAAGGCACAUGCUCAUUAAGCUCUUUCAGUGGUCAUUAACAUCAACCCCUAAAGGACAACAAUGGCAAUAAUGCAAGAUGGGACUGAGGACUAUUGCAUUUCUCAGGAGAGCUCAGCAGAGGGAUUUAACAGCACUGAUCCUCUGUCCCAGCCUUCUUCUACGGCCAGGAGAAUGAGGAUGCUCAGAAUUAGUUAAUGAUCCUUAUAUUACUCUUGGACUAAUCUGGAAGCUUGGCAUUUAAUUGGGAAGAGCCUAGCAUUCCAGAUGGAUUUGAUGGUGAUACACAGGAAUGAGUGGUCAUUUCAGAUCAGUUUGGAGAGGCCAGGUGAGAGAUGCUCUGUUCAGACAGCAGAAUGAGCCACCAUCACUCCAGGGACUCCCUUCAGCUGCAGAAGGGUGGGAAUGUGCAUGUGCAGGGAUCUGUGCAGAGCAGGAAGCUCUGUGUGUGCAGGAGUGUGGAAAGACCUCACCCAGUGGAUUCAGGGAGAGAUGGAAGGGUGACUGCACGUGGAGGCUGGAUGUGCUCCACUGGUUCUCCACCUCAUCUCAGAAUUAACAGGCUGAUCUGGGUUUGCACUGCUGUAACUGGGACCAGGUUCAGCCCUUCAGAGUUCUGCACCAUGGUGGUCCCCAAAUCACCACGGCUCUGUGUCCUCACAGCUCUCUGCUGUGAGCUCUCAGAGACCAGAAUGAGGUCCUGGACCUUCUCUUCCUUCUAGUUUGGAAUUAGAGUCUCUCAGCUUGUUCUCCUCUUUCCUUCCAGAAAGACAUCAUGGGUGUUAUAUCCUCCUGACCAGACUGAUCUGACUCACUUGAUCUACUGCACUCAGAAAAAAAUAAAAAAACCCAAGGUAAUUCUUCCCUGACUCAGAAUCUGGAAACAGUGAGACUCCCUGAUGUAUUUUCAAUGAGUUAUGUGCUCCAGAGGAAAAGCAAAACACACAAACAUUUAAUUUCUGUGCAGCCCUGCCACCAGAGCAGUGUCCAUGGCCUGAGCCCUGCUGCUCUCCCUCUGCCCAAGCAGCUGCACCAGGCAUGCCUGGCACUCCCAAACCUGACUGCCUCCUUCACUGGGGACUUUGAAACGUAUUUUAACUCCUGUACUCACAACCUGGGCCCCCUCACUUACCAAAUGUACCUGACAGACCCUCCAGGCAUCCAAGUCCUGACCUCACCUGGCUGCUCAAAGGACAGUCCCUGUGUGAGCAGGCUCAGCCAGCUCAGGAAGAGCUACAGAAAACUGUACCCCUGAAAAGGAGAAUCGUUCUGUCUGUGUGAGGAUUGAUCCCCCAGCCCACUGGGAUGUUAUCUACAAUGAGAGCUGCCUGGCCAGCAUCCAGGCCUGUACUGCAGCUUUGGCCACUCAAUGAAAAGCAGAGGCCAAGGGGCAGAGCUCAUUCUGCAGAGCUCUCUGGGUAUUACAGGUUUAACGAAAGUCUGAACUUUUUUUAU